UACGUAGGGCGCAAGCGUUGUCCGGAAUUAUUGGGCGUAAAGAGCUCGUAGGCGGUCUGUCACGUCUGCCGUGAAAACCCGAGGCUUAACCUCGUGGCUUGCGGUGGAUACGGGCAGACUAGAGGUAGGUAGGGGAGAACGGAAUUCCCGGUGUAGCGGUGAAAUGCGCAGAUAUCAGGAGGAACACCGGUGGCGAAGGCGGGUCUCUGGGCCGAUACUGACGCUGAGGAGCGAAAGCGUGGGGAGCGAACAGG
rnacentral:rRNA from 1 species